rnacentral:rRNA from 1 species
UACGUAGGUGGCAAGCGUUAUCCGGAUUUAUUGGGCGUAAAGGGAACGCAGGCGGUCUUUUAAGUCUGAUGUGAAAGCCUCCGGCUUAACCGGAGUAGUGCAUUGGAAACUGGGAGACUUGAGUGCAGAAGAGGAGAGUGGAACUCCAUGUGUAGCGGUGAAAUGCGUAGAUAUAUGGAAGAACACCAGUGGCGAAAGCGGCUCUCUGGUCUGUAACUGACGCUGAGGUUCGAAAGCGUGGGUAGCAAACAGG